GUUCCCUCAACUACAAUUGUUUCAGCUGCUAAUAAAGCAGUCUUUGCUAGCAUAUCAGCCUGACCAUUUCUCUCCCGAGAAAUCCAGACAAAGGAGACAAACUCGAAAAUAGACGCAAAAGAUAUAAUAUCAGCAAGAAUUCCAUAGAGCUCAGGUAUGCAUCUUCCAGAGUUUAAAGCAUCUAUUAGCUGGGACGAGUCCGCCUCGAAACAAACCACCUUCAGCUCUUCUCUAGUUCCUGCUUUGACAGCUUCAAACAGUGCUAAAGCUUCCGCCAUUGGAGCUGAAGUCACUUGAGAGGUACUACAUUUGAACGUCCUAAUACCUGAAGGGGAGUGGAUAACCCAGCCUAAACCCGCCGCUGUGCCUCGAGGGUUCCAGGCUGCAUCGGAUCUGAUGGUCACCGCACCAGGUGGGAGGUGGGCUUCUGGCAUCUUUCUUUGGAGGUGAGAAGGCUUCUGCUCCUUUCGCUGCUGGGAGUCCCAUUCUUUUGCUAAAGAUAUCGCUGUUGAUAGGGUGUCCUCUGGCGAUCCCGAAUGGCCUUCAAAGACAAAUUUGUUGCGCGCUUUCCACAAGUGCCAGAGGAUCCACGGAGCAAGUGUAUCAGAGACUACCCCCGAGGGGGGGAGACAAGUUUUGGAGCAGAUAGCCGCCCAAUUUGCUGCCAAAUCUACCAUUCCGCUGCUCUCCACCUCGGCCUUGAAAGGCGCAAGACUCCACACCUUUUGGGCAUAUGGACAGUGAAAGAACAGAUGAAUUAUAGAUUCGGAGCCUCCACAGCGCUUACAUCGCGGGUCUAGCGGCACAUGACGCUCAACUAGUCGUUCGCCCACAGGAAGAGCACCUUUUAGCAGCUUCCAAGAGAAGAGCUUAACUUUUGGAGCUACAUCGAGUCUCCAGAUGCUCUUAUUCCAGUUGAUAGGAUCUUCUCCUGCAAGUGCAUUUCCAGCCUCAAGAAAGUCUACUGCAGAGAAAUACCCUGACUUGACGGAGUACUCUCCUAUCUUCGUUCCCAGCCAAAUAAGUUUAUCCGGAGCCCCGGUUUGGCUUGUCCUUAUCCUCUGUAUCUUUUCCUCAUACCCAGGGAGGUAGAGUUGAAUUUUUUGCAGGUCCCAGUCACACGAUUCAGCCUGCAACAGGUCUGAAACCUUGAGCUCCAAGAGAGAUUCACAUACUGGUCCCAUUGGUCUUUCUUUGUGACAGGGGUUUAGCCAUGGGUCUCUCCAAACCGAGAUAGACUGGCCAUUGCCUACUAGCCAUCCCAUGUUCUUAAUCAACAGGUCCCUCCCCUUCAAAAUACUUCGCCAUCCAUGCGACAUAGCUGAGGAUUCAGAAGCGAGAAGGAUGUUAUUUUGAGGGCAAUAUUUUCCGAAAAGCACUCUACCAAGCAGGCAGUUGGGAUUUUGUAGCAAGCGCCAGCCCACUUUUGCUAGUAAUGCAACAUUAUAGCUUUGAAAAUCCCGGAAGCCCAAACCUCCUGCUGCUUUCGGUUUAGCCAUCGAGUCCCACGAAAUCCAUGCCAUCUUCCGGGUGCUUUCAUUGUUAUCCCACCAGUAUCUCGUCACUGCAGAUUGCAGACGAUUGCAGAGCGAGACUGGCAGUUCAAAGUACGACAUGGAGUAGGAAGGAACUGCUGUUAAGACACUUUGGAUCAUGACCAAUUUCCCUGCUGAAGAUAAG
rnacentral:lncRNA from 1 species